CUUUAGAAAAUGUAAUAAUUAAACUUUUGGGGAUAGGCGUCAUUAUUCUCAAAAGGUUUAUCUCUAAAACAUUACAUAAUCAAUUGGAAUGAACAUCAAUAGUAAACAUGGAGCAGACGCUAAUACUUCUUCAAAUUUCAGACAGUGCAUUUCCAACAGGCGGAUUUUCUCACAGCAUGGGCCUCGAAUCAGCGGUGCAACAUCACUGGGUUCAAAGCAAAGGAGAUCUGAUAAAUUUCUGUAUCUCAGUGCUGGAAAACGCUGGGUCAUUAGGCAUUCCCUUUGUCCAAGAAUCAUUCAAGAAUUAUGCUGAUGUUAAGCAUUUGAGCAGACUAGACCAGCUUCUCCAUGCAUGUUCUGCCAACCACGUUGCUUGCAGAGCUAGCACAAAACAGGGUAAAGCAAUGUUAGAAACUGCAAGCAGAGUGUUCAUGGAUCAAAAUAUUUCUAAGCUCUUGUCUAGCCUCAGCCACUGUCAUCAUGCAGUUGUGUUUGGUGCAAUCUGUGGUUGCCUAGGAAUAGCAGAAGAAAUAAUGUUAGCUACAUAUAUGUCUGGAUUGGCACGUACAGUAAUGGCAAGUGCGGUUCGCCUUGACAAAGUUGGACCUAUUGAGGCACAGAAAAUAGUAGCCAGUCUCCAGAAAGUUAUUCCAGAGAUUAUCCAUAGGUAAAAUGGAGAGACUUUUAAUAACAUUUAAUGUUAAUAGAAAUGUUUUAUUUUGAAUGGUGUUUGAUUACAAAGACUUUCUAGCCAAGAGAGUAUCAGAUACUAUCUUAGUAGCUGACACUCAGUUUAGCAUAUAUAACUAUUCUGUAAUGAAUUUGAGAUCCUAACAAUCAUUACCCUUUUUUUUAAAUGACUAUAAACAGUAGAAGGACUUUGGACUACACAAAUAGGACAGCUAUAAACAAAUUCCAUCUGCAUGUUCAUUAUGUACUUUAGAGAGCUGGACUUCUAGAUAUUGCCUGAUGAUGAUAUAGUAUUUUUAAAAUACAGCAAGCUGAAACACGUACUGCAUAGAUAGGCAAUUAUCACCUUUACAGAAGUAGACUAAUUUUUUUUACUGGCAUUUGAUGAACAGCUGUUGGUAAGUGGCAACAUUUAUAAAAUAUCCAAAACACUAUUUGUUUCUAUUAACUCUUCUUUGUUUCUGCAAGAUGCACUUGAACUUUAAAACUAUCCUUAUGAGUUCUACUAAUGUAACAAGAUUUUUAUAUUUGACGAUUUCUUGGAAAAAAACUUCAUUAAAAAGUGCUUGCUUUCAUAUUAUCUAGAUUUGUAACAAGUA
rnacentral:misc_RNA from 1 species